rnacentral:rRNA from 1 species
CCUACGGGAGGCAGCAGUAGGGAAUCUUCCACAAUGGACGAAAGUCUGAUGGAGCAACGCCGCGUGAGUGAAGAAGGGUUUCGGCUCGUAAAGCUCUGUUGGUAGUGAAGAAAGAUAGAGGUAGUAACUGGCCUUUAUUUGACGGUAAUUACUUAGAAAGUCACGGCUAACUACGUGCCAGCAGCCGCGGUAAUACGUAG